rnacentral:rRNA from 1 species
CCUCGAUGUCGGCUCAUCACAUCCUGGGGCUGAAGCCGGUCCCAAGGGUAUGGCUGUUCGCCAUUUAAAGUGGUACGCGAGCUGGGUUUAGAACGUCGUGAGACAGUUCGGUCCCUAUCUGCCGUGGACGUUUGAGAUUUGAGAGGGGCUGCUCCUAGUACGAGAGGACCGGAGUGGACGAACCUCUGGUGUUCCGGUUGUCACGCCAGUGGCAUUGCCGGGUAGCUAUGUUCGGAAUAGAUAACCGCUGAAAGCAUCUAAGCGGGAAACUAGCCUCAAGAUGAGAUCUCACUGGGACCUUGAGUCCCCUGAAGGGCCGUCGAAGACUACGACGUUGAUAGGUUGGGUGUGUAAGCGCUGUGAGGCGUUGAGCUAACCAAUACUAAUUGCCCGUGAGGCUUGACCAUAUAACACCCAAGCAAUU